UUUUGUUGGUUGGGUAGGGGAGCGUCGUGCACUGCUGUGAAGCACCUGGGUGACUUGAUGGUGUGGAGUGUGUGCGAGUGAGAAUGCAGGCAUGAGUAACGAAUGAAAAGUGGAAAACUUUUCCGCCGGAUGACUAAGGGUUCCUGGGUUAAGCUAAUCUUCCCAGGGUGAGUCGGGACCUAAGGCGAGGCCGACAGGCGUAGUCGAUGGAUAACCAGUUGAUAUUCUGGUACCCGUGUAUGUGCGCCCAGUGGUGAAUCAGUGGUACUAACCAUCCAUGGAUCUGCUGGUCAUGCUUUUUGUGUGGUUGGUGGUGAUGUGCGUGGGAUCUUCGUUGGUAGUAGCCAAGUGAUGGGGUGACGCAGUGAGGUAGCUGAGCCAUUU
rnacentral:rRNA from 1 species